UAUCCUAUAAAAUGUUUGAUUUCUCAGAGUGCCUGUACAGGACUGGUAACCCUGCUCUUUAGAGAAAGACAACAGGCAGGAAAUCCAGCCUCUCCAGUUGCUGCCAUGCUGGACUCCAAGACCAUUUGCUGGUACUUAGACUCCCUACCCACACACACACAGAGAACAGAGGUGAUCUAUUUUCUAACACCACUUCCUCCAUGGGCUGUCUUCAGGUUAAUAUAUGCACCACUUCUGAAGAAGAUAGUCCCUCUUAACCAAUAUCAGCCAUUAAGAAUUUGUUGUCUUUUAGUCUCAAUGCUGCUCUAACCUGUGUCUUUACCUUCUGGCAUGGAAAAAUGCCAAACACCCUUUGUGAAAGCCAGGUAGUAAACACCAAGUGACAAAACCAGAGACUGAACCUUACUGUUUGACAGAUUGAGCCAAAAUGACCAUUUCAUUGAAGCAGGUUUAGCCUAUGGAAAAAAGGCAGAACCUGGAGCAAUACUGUGCACUACUGUUCUGGAUCUUGGUAUGCCAGCAUAAAGAGAGGACUAAACAGAAACUGUUGGGCAAUUUUAAUGCUGUGUGUCAUUCAACAUCUCCCCAGGUUUUGUGCUCUUUGGCUAGUUUGUCUGUUUACACUGGCAGCCUGGUGGGAGUGGAUUUGCUCAGUGAAGCACUCAGUGCUAAAAUCCCACUUAGUUAAGUGUUCAAUGUCCUCUUUAUGGGACUCUAGAGGGAAGUUACUUCAGGCUUGUUCUAGUCUGUUCCGAGAGACUGACUGCCAGUUUGUGUCAAGAUUGUUGUCACUGUGUUCCUGGAAUGUAUUAUCUGGCAUAAUUUCAUCCAAAAGGAACCUAGUUCUUUGCUCUAAAACCUCUCCAUGCUGCACACCAGAAAGAAGGAAGUAGA